GUGAGCUCUGAGGAACUGCUAUUUGGGUCUGCGUUGAGUAGGUGUUAUCAGCAAGAAUAACCGCUUUGCAUUCUUGGAAACAAUUCAGCCUGGAAGUGCAGCAGAAUUUAUCAGCCUGCGUGGAUCUGGUGGAAGCAGUCUGCUUUUAAGGAAGCUGUUGGUAAAGAAAGCAAAGAAACGAGGCCGGUUCGCGAGGCAGGUUGCUGCUCAGAAGGGACACUUGAGAACAGCUACUCCCAAGAAAACCCCUUGA
rnacentral:lncRNA from 1 species